UACGGGGGGGGCAAGCGUUGUUCGGAAUUACUGGGCGUAAAGGGCUCGUAGGCGGCCAACUAAGUCCGACGUGAAAUCCCAAGGCUUAACCUUGGAACUGCGUCGGAUACUGGAUGGCUUGAAUUCGGGAGAGGGUUGCAGAAUUCCAGGUGUAGCGGUGAAAUGCGUAGAUAUCUGGAGGAAUACCGGUGGCGAAGGCGGCAUCCUGGACCGACAUUGACGCUGAUGAGCGAAAGCUAGGGGAGCAAACGGG
rnacentral:rRNA from 1 species